rnacentral:rRNA from 1 species
UACGAAGGGGGCUAGCGUUGUUCGGAAUUACUGGGCGUAAAGCGCGCGCAGGCGGUCUUCCAAGUCAGUGGUGAAAGCCCGGAGCUCAACUCCGGAACUGCCAUUGAAACUGUUAGACUUGGGGAUGAGAGAGGUGAGUGGAAUUCCCAGUGUAGAGGUGAAAUUCGUAGAUAUUGGGAAGAACACCGGUGGCGAAGGCGGCUCACUGGCUCAUUUCUGACGCUCAGGCGCGACAGCGUGGGGAUCAAACAGG